CUCUUGAUUUCAGCGGACUAGAAAAUCCUCGAAGCGAGAAAUGCACGUUACCGUACCGCAAACCAACACUGGU
rnacentral:rRNA from 1 species